UAGCAUAAAUUUCUGAACUAA
rnacentral:piRNA from 1 species